CUCAGUGAUGGGUUGUCGGAGACAUUGUGCACCAGCAUCACACAAAUCAGCCUGCAGAAAGCGAGGGCAGCUUCAGCAGGUUGGUUGCCAGGCUAGAACUGGGGCUGAGCCACGCAGUGGAAGGGCAGCCUGCAGACGCGAGCAAAAUGGGAAAGAGGCAUCAAGACAUAAACCCUAAAGGACUUGGGCAACAGGAAGGCCAACCCACAUAGAAGACAAGCGCUCAACUCAAGCUAGAACAUUGUUUGCAGCGCGUCAUGCGGCCUCGGUGGCGCAGUUGGCAGCGCGUAAGUCUCAUAAUCUUAAGGUCGUGAGUUCGAGCCUCACCCGGGGCAGCUACUUUUUUUUUUGCCUGCCAUUAUUUUUGUGUGUUUUUAAUUUUUUGCCUGACAACUAGGCAACGGCACCCAGUGCAGAGUUCCGAAU